UUUUUAAGCAGCUGGUCGGUCCGGCGCCAAUAUGGCCGACCAACAUUGACAGGCAAGCCGUAAAAUAAAAUAUUUAUUAAUUGUAAUAGAAUUACGUUUAUUAUCUACAGUUUACCUUCAUUUUAACGCCUAUAUAUGUUAAGAGGUUAUAAACGAAUGGUUUCCGUACAAGUGUUUUUCAUUUGUAUUAGCAUAUAUUUUAUGUUACCUUUUAGCGCAAAGUACGCCAACAGAAUACUUAAUUCAGUCGAAACAAUUGGAAAAACUUUGUUUGUUGAUGAGAACGGGAUACCUAUACCAUAAGUAAACUUUCCCUAUUAUACCAGUUAUGCUGUAGUUAGUUUUGACAAAUAAGCAUGAUUUAACGAAAGUCUUUGGAACUAUGAAUAAGCUACAAACUUAAAUUUGAAGGCCGGCUUUUAUACGAGAAAAUUUUGAACCAUGGUUGAAACAAAUAAAUGUAAUAAUUAAAUUGAUAUGAUACAUACCUGCUAUUUUUGAAAUAUAUUAAUAUAUUGAUAGAAAGAUUGUUUCAAUUAGUAUUACUUCAGGUAGUUUCGGCAUUUUAGGUAUGUAAUUGUGCACUUAAUUUAAAAAUAACUUA